UUCAUAUUAAUUUCUUAGGACAAAAAUACAUUCAAAUAUAAAUAUAACAAAAUUAUAUACUAGUUAAAGUAAGGGCAUUGUUCUUAAUUACAUACCCGGCAAAGGAAUAAUUUAAACAUUUUAAAUUUUCUUAACAUACAUGCAAUAUAAAACAUAAUAUCAAUACUUCUAAUACAAAAAUUAACUUAAACAAGGAUUCCCAUUUAUGCUUCUACUUUCCAGCUCGAGGAUGCGAUGUACCUAACAACAUAUUUAUAUAACAUGUGAACAUUUGGAAAAAAAUUAAAAAAAUUAUUCUUAUUAAUAAUAAUACACAAUUUAAAUAAGGGUUAUUUGAAGCAUACACAAUAAUAUACGAACUAACUCAUUAAAUGAAGCACUUAUCGUCAAUAUAUUAAUUUAAUCUAAAUCUCAUUCAUUUAUAUAUAUAUAUAUAUAUAUAUAUCUUCUUCAUUAACCAGGAUAUGACUUUCUCAAGUUGUCCAUCCAUUAGUACAUUAUAUAUGGAGUUCAGGUAAGAAUAAAAAGGAAAAUAGUUCAUGGUUCAACCAAUGUACCCAUUUCAACAGGGCAUUAUUUCUAUUAACUAGGAAAUAAUCUUUCAGCAAGUCCAUUUAUUUAACAGGGUAUUAUUUCCAUUAACCAGGAAAUAAUCUCUCAGCAAGCCCAUUUAUUUAACAGGGCAUUAUUUCCAUUAACCAGGAAAUAAUCUCUCAGCACGCCCAUUUAUUUAACAGGGCAUUAUUUCCAUUAACCAGGAAAUAAUCUCUCAGCAAGCCCAUUUAUUUAACAGGGCAUUAUUUCCAUUAACCAGGAAAUAAUCUCUCAGCACGCCCAUUUAUUUAACAGGGCAUUAUUUCCAUUAACCCAGGAAAUAAUCUCUCAGCACGCCCAUUUAACAGGACGUUAAUUUCAUUCUUUUCUUCUUCUUUUUUUUUCCACAAUUUCUACAUUAAAAUUUACAAUCAAAGGAAAUUUCUUCUAAAAUACUAAAUUAAGCAAUUAAUUUAUUAUAAGGUAUUUAACACCUACCUGGUGUUUGUGGGCGUGAAGUGGUCCCCUGUUGUUGAUUAGGUCCUGCGACCUCUUCUGCACCAACACAAAAAUCCAUAUGUCAAAUUUUAUUUAUAACCAACUAAUAAAGAUCUCAUUUCAUUUUAAAUUAAGAAGAAUAAAUUUCUCCUUUUUUAACUCUUCAUCGAAAUUAACUUUCUAAUUCUCCAACAAUCCUUCCGAUUCAUCUAAAAUCAAUCUUUUACAAUAACAAAAUCCAAGUCAAAAUUCUUUUUCUCCUUUUUAUAUGUCAUGGCCGAAAUCCCUUCAAAGAAAAUGGUGAUUAUUUUAUUUUUGUAACAUCCUUCACCAUUUCAUUUAUUAACAUUUAUAAGCCAUAAAUUCCCACAAUUUCUAAACAAUUGCAUUAAAUUCUUCAUUCUCCCAAAACUUCUCCUUUGCCGUGACCAUUAACCAAAAAAAAGGGAGGGGUUUGUUUCUUCCAUUUCUAAAUUAAACACUUACCCAUUAAUAAUCUAUGCAUCCUAAUAUAGUUCAAUCAUGAAUUGCAUCAUUUCAAUAAUUAACACCAUAAAUCCCCAAUUUCACAUAAUCAUAGCAAUUUAAUUUCUUCAUCAAAACACAAAAUUAUAAAAAUUAAUCUUUCUAAACAUGUUCUUCAACUUACUUGGGUAAAGAUUCAAGGAAUGGAUGCAAGAAAAUUCAAGCUUCCUUCUUCUCCCUUUUUAAACCCUAGCUUUAGAUUUCUUUCUAAAGAAAACAAGUUCCAAGCACUAAAUCACCUCUCAUAAUUUCUUUUUUCUAAGUGCUAAUCACUCUAAUUACAUCUCUCUCUCUCUUUUCAUGUAUAAUUUGCAAGAAAAUAACUAAAAGUCACACAAUUUAUUUCCCUCCUUUAUG
rnacentral:lncRNA from 1 species